AUUGAACGCUGGCGGCAGGCUUAACACAUGCAAGUCGAGCGAGCGGCGGACGGGUGAGUAAUGUCUGGGAAACUGCCUGCUGGAGGGGGAUAACUACUGGACACGGUCGCUAAUACCGCAUACCCUCAGAUGUGCCCAGAUGGGAUUAGCUUGUAGGUGGGGUAAUGGCUCACCUAGGCGACGAUCCCUCGCUGGUCUGAGAGGAUGACCAGCGACACUGGAACUUGUACCGGGUGCAGAGUGUGACGGGAGGCAGAGGGGGGGAGAAGUGCAGAAUGGGCGCAAGCCUGAUGCAGCCGAGCGGGGUGUGUGAAGAGGGCCUUCGGGGGGUAAAGCACUGUCAGCGAGGAGGGGGUACUCGCAGAAGAAGCAACGGCGAACUCCGGGCCAGCAGGCGCGGUAAUUC
rnacentral:rRNA from 1 species